CGUGCAACCUCCCGUCCCUCCGAGGUGCUGCCUCUAGGGCUUCUGGGCCUUCCUCGCUGUCGUCUUGGCCUCUGGGCGUCGCAUCCCCCCACCCCGGACCCCCGGACCCCCGGACCCCCGGCCGCGGCGGCCGCGCGUCGGUCGGGGACGGGCCAGACCCACCCCUCGCUUGCGACGGCCGGUGCCCGUUCUUCCCGGGUCCCUGGCUCCGCUGCGUGGUUUCCUCUUCCCACGGAGAGCCCGCGAGCCAGACCCCCUCGGGCCUCCCCCCGGCGCCGCGGGAGCCACAGAGCAGCCCGGAAUCUCCGAGGCACAGGCUCUCCCCGAGCUCUCCCCUCCCUCGUCCCGGUCCUGUCCCCCGAGCCUGGCAGGUUGCGGGCUGCCUAGUGUCUCAGAGGCGUCCGCGAAAGCUCUCUGCCUUUGUCAGAAGCUGCUGCAAAUAUUUAAAAUAUUUUCAUAUGAAAAUAUAGUUUUAUAUUACUAUUAAAUUGCUGCAAAAUCGUACGGCAGCGGGGGCACCUGCAAGUCCUAUUUGGAUGUACAGACGACCCUGCCCAGGAAUGAAGACCUCCCCAUGCACACACACCCCCGCAGACACACACGCGCGCACACACACACACACACACACACACACACACACACGAGGUCCCUUGCUGCUGAUGUCCUUGAACUAACCGGCAGAAGUUGGACCCAACACGCCUCACGCGAAAACUCAGCUCUGCGAGCCGUAGUGGACGCGGAGGUUUCUCGGAUCCUUUCCAGCCCGAGCCGACCUUAGCAACGUUUCAGAACCCAAGGGCUGCGCUGGGUUCCUGGGUCUGAAGUUCUUCCCGCGGCUACACCCAAAAGCUCCAGCUGGGGAGCCACGUAUUUCACGGGUUCCAGAAACAAGCCUCUCCGGUUACUCCAGGAUUGCACUUGAGAGAGGGUCCUUUGGGAAGCAGCGGUGUGGGGAUCCCCUGAUGAGGACCCAAAUCGUCCCUUUAGCCUCCACACAGACAUUUUUAGUAGCUUCUAAGAAUCUCAGGAGACAGAAAGGUAUGCGCCCCCACUGUAGAGUAAACCUGAGGAGCCACAGCCCAGAGACUGCAAACUGUGUCAGACCAACCGAGAAGCAACCGGACAGCUGCUGACCUCAAGGAUUUGGAGGUCAGUUGACGGCCCAUGGAGCCUAGCAUCUCAAAGGAGCAGAUUGUCAUUUUAUACCUGAGCAGCUGGCCUGGAAAAAUAAAUCACCCACACAUUUAAAAAAGUCUCUAUGAUAAUCACAAAAUAGUCCAAUACAUGUUAUUUACACUUAGCAAGCAGAGGAAGAAACCAAAGCGCACAACACGAUCAAAUGAUUGGCCUAAAGGUAGAGCAAAUUCAAGAGCAGACCUUUUCA